AAUCAAACCCUCCCAAUUCUCCUCUCGCGAACACGCACGGAACCCAGCCGCUCCUCCCUCUCGCGAACACGCACGGAAACCUAGCUUUUCGCCGCUCUUCCUCUCGCGAACAGCACCAACCUAGCCUUUCGCCGCUCUUCCUCUCGCGAACACGCACGGAAACCUAGCCUUUCGCCGCACCUCCUCUCGCGAACAGCACCAAAACCCUAGCCUUUCGCCGCUCCUCCUCUCGCGAACACGCCGAUCCUCCCCCUCGCGCACACGAAGCUCAGGCCUUCUAGCGACGUUUCUCUGCGACGAUCCCGACUCGGCUUCUUGGAAAAGAUACGGUGAAAAUAUUCUAGAAACAAGCAAGAAUCCCAAUUGGAUUGUUACAAUGCAUACUCAGCAAUUAGUUCUGGUUCUUCGUAAUCUACUUGAUGGUGACAUGAAGGAAGCCUUCAAGGAGAAGCUGAUGGUUGUUGGUGAUCUCAUACUUCAUAUGUAUUCUAUGUUUUUAUUUUCUAAACAACAUGAGGAAUUGGUUGGAAUAUAUGCCUCUCAGCUUGCCGUCACCUUUGUGUGGAUCUUUUUGUCCAAAUGAUGGAGCUCAGAUUAAAUAGCAGGAAUACUUUUCUAUUGAAGCUGGGGUAAUUAGCUCAGAUGAGCAUAGUGCAAAGAAUGCUGCGGCUAAGAAGGCAAACAAAUCGCUUGAAGAUGUAAAUCCUGUCAUUGACAGCAUUGCGAGCAGAUUAAGAAAGCGGAACAUUGGAUGAAACAUGUUUUUCAAACUGUUUCAGUAUCUUGUCGACGUUAUUGCACAACUAGGAAAUCAGAUAUUUGAGACAGAUGUUUCGAUGAUUUACUAAUUUUGUGGCUUUUGAAGUUACACUUGUAGUGCUAAUUCUGGAAGCAUUUCCAGUUCCCUAUUUAAAUAGAAUCGUCUGUCAAAGUUUAGGUAGACAAUGAAUUGUACUGUUGUCAUAUUUGCUGUCAUUGCACAUUUUAGUAUCAUCAUGAAUUUGUAAUAGUUCUAAAUACAGCUCA